CAGCAGCCGCGGGAACACGUAGGGUGCAAGCGUUAUCCGGAAUUAUUGGGCGUAAAGAGCUCGUAGGCGGUUUGUCGCGUCUGCUGUGAAAACUGGAGGCUCAACCUCCAGCCUGCAGUGGGUACGGGCAGACUAGAGUGCGGUAGGGGAGAUUGGAAUUCCUGGUGUAGCGGUGGAAUGCGCAGAUAUCAGGAGGAACACCGAUGGCGAAGGCAGAUCUCUGGGCCGUGACUGACGCUGAGGAGCGAAAGCGUGGGGAGCGAACAGGAUUAGAUACCCCUGUAGUCCCUGUCUCUUAUAC
rnacentral:rRNA from 1 species